AGCAGCCGCGGUAAUUCCAGCACCAAUAGCGUAUAUUAAAGUUGUUGCAGUUAAAAAGCUCGUAGUUGAAUUUCGAGAUCAAUUUGUUGGUCGUGCCUCGGUACGUACUGGCAAUUUUGAUUUCUCCCUUCUGAAGAACCAUGAUGUCAUUAAUUUGGUGUCAUGGGGAAUCAGGACCGUUACUUUGAAAAAUUAGAGUGUUUAAAGCAGGCUCGCGCUUGAAUGCAUUAGCAUGGAAUAAUGAAAUAGGACGUUUGAUUCUAUUUUGUUGGUUUCUAGGAUCGACGUAAUGAUUAAUAGGGAUAGUUGGGGGCAUUAGUAUUCAAUUGUCAGAGGUGAAAUUCUUGGAUUUAUUGAAGACUAACUACUGCGAAAGCAUUUGCCAAGGAUGUUUUCAUUAAUCAAGAACGAAAGUUAGGGGAUCGAAGACGAUCAGAUACCGUCGUAGUCUUAACCAUAAACUAUGCCGACUAGGGAUCGGAUGAUGUUAAUUUUUAAUGA
rnacentral:rRNA from 1 species